CAAAGACCUGAAAGACCGAUGGAAAGAAUUCAAUAGCGAAUGGAUGAAGAGAGAAAGAAAAUAAUUUGAAGAACCUACAAGAUUUGUGAUCCAGAACAGCCUUGAAGAGGGAAGGGACAUCUCUUCCAUUGUGACAGAAUGAAGGAAGAAUUGUGUGGCUGCAGAUAUGUCCAGAGACUUUGAAGGGGAAGGUCAUUUUAAUGGUAUCUAUUUUCACCUGUGAAGUCAAAGAUAGGGUGAUGUCCUGAGCAGGGAGAUGGUAGAACAAGAAGUCUGUGGAGAAAGGAGAAGCUAUAGAAAGCCUGUAAUGAUGGGUUAAAAGAGAGAAAGAGAGAGAACAGAAGAAUUGCAUUUCAAAUACCUCAAAAGUCAAUUUAGGGUUGGAAGCCAUGACUUUUUGGUAAAAAUAUGUAUCUUAUUUGGAAAAGUGUGCAACUGAGUAUUUUAUUACAUCUUCACUCAUCAAUCAAAUGAAAAGGUAGAUACUUGGAUUGAUCCUACAGUGUUACUUUAUCAGAAAGUUGAAUUUAAAGGUUAGGGAACAAGGAUUUUUCUGCAAGCUAUGAGAGUAAAGUCAUGAAGCAUUGAGGAAAUAGCACUGAUUUAUGCAUAUACUAUUUAUAGAUCUAAAAGGAGUAGACUAUCAGUACAAGUUUUAAACAUUUUUCUCACUUUUUUUGUUGGAGCAUUAUGGUUAUACAUAAUAAUUGGGUUCAUCCCAACAAACUCAUACAUGCAUAGAAAUCAAUUUCAGUUCAUGAUCCCCCUCUCCCCCUUUCCCCUCCAUUCCUGCUCCUUCCUCUAGUCUACUA
rnacentral:lncRNA from 1 species